rnacentral:rRNA from 1 species
UAAUACGGGAGGCAGCAGUGGGGAAUAUUGCACAAUGGGCGCAAGCCUGAUGCAGCCAUGCCGCGUGUAUGAAGAAGGCCUUCGGGUUGUAAAGUACUUUCAGCAGUGAGGAAGGGGUGUCCGUUAAUAGCGUGCAUCUUUGACGUUAGCUGCAGAAGAAGCACCGGCUAACUCCGUGCCAGCAGCCGCGGUAAUACGGAGGGUGCGAGCGUUAAUCGGAAUUACUGGGCGUAAAGCGCAUGCAGGUGGUUUGUUAAGUCAGAUGUGAAAGCCCGGGGCUCAACCUCGGAAUUGCAUUUGAAACUGGCAGACUAGAGUACUGUAGAGGGGGGUAGAAUUUCAGGUGUAGCGGUGAAAUGCGUAGAGAUCUGAAGGAAUACCAGUGGCGAAGGCGGCCCCCUGGACAGAUACUGACACUCAAAUGCGAAAGCGUGGGGAGCAAACAGGAUUAGAUACCCUGGUAGUCCACGCCGUAAACGAUGUCUACUUGGAAGUUGUGGCCUUGAGCCGUGGCUUUCGGAGCUAA